UACGUAGGGUGCAAGCGUUGUCCGGAAUUAUUGGGCGUAAAGAGCUCGUAGGCGGUCUGUCGCGUCGGCUGUGAAAACCUGGGGCUUAACUCCGGGCCUGCAGCCGAUACGGGCAGACUAGAGUUCGGCAGGGGAGACUGGAAUUCCUGGUGUAGCGGUGAAAUGCGCAGAUAUCAGGAGGAACACCGGUGGCGAAGGCGGAUCUCUGGGCCAUUACUGACGCUGAGGAGCGAAAGCGUGGGGAGCGAACAGG
rnacentral:rRNA from 1 species